GAUGAACGCUGGCGGCGUGCUUAACACAUGCAAGUCGAACGAAGCAACUUAUUACGAUCCCUUCGGGGUGACGAUUUGUUGACUGAGUGGCGGACGGGUGAGUAACGCGUGGGUAACCUACCUUGUACAGGGGGACAACAGUUGGAAACGACUGCUAAUACCGCAUAAGCGCACGGUAUCGCAUGGUACAGUGUGAAAAGUUUUUUCGGUACAAGAUGGACCCGCGUCUGAUUAGCUAGUUGGUGAGGUAACGGCUCACCAAGGCGACGAUCAGUAGCCGACCUGAGAGGGUGACCGGCCACAUUGGGACUGAGACACGGCCCAAACUCCUACGGGAGGCAGCAGUGGGGAAUAUUGCACAAUGGGCGAAAGCCUGAUGCAGCGACGCCGCGUGAGCGAAGAAGUAUUUCGGUAUGUAAAGCUCUAUCAGCAGGGAAGAUAAUGA
rnacentral:rRNA from 1 species